UGAAGAGUUUGAUCAUGGCUCAGAUUGAACGCUGGCGGCAGGCCUAACACAUGCAAGUCGAACGGUAAGUUGGGAGCUUGCUCUCAACACGAGUGGCGCACGGGUGCGUAACGCGUAUGCAACUUACCUCUAACAGGAGGAUAGCCUUUCGAAAGGAAGAAUAAUACUCCAUAAUAUUUAUUAGUGGCAUCAUUAAUUUAUUAAAACUACGGUGGUUAGAGAUAGGCAUGCGUCCUAUUAGCUAGUUGGUGAGGUAACAGCUCACCAAGGCGAUGAUAGGUAGGGGGCCUGAGAGGGUUAUCCCCCACACUGG
rnacentral:rRNA from 1 species